AGUGAACGCUGGCGGUAGGCCUAACACAUGCAAGUCGAACGGCAGCACAGUAAGAGCUUGCUCUUACGGGUGGCGAGUGGCGUACGGGUGAGGAAUACAUCGGAAUCUACUUUUUCGUGGGGGAUAACGUAGGGAAACUUACGCUAAUACCGCAUACGACCUACGGGUGAAAGCAGGGGAUCUUCGCACCUUGCGCGAUUGAAUGAGCCGAUGUCGGAUUAGCUAGUUGGCGGGGUAAAGGCCCACCAAGGCGACGAUCCGUAGCUGGUCUGAGAGGAUGAUCAGCCACACUGGAACUGAGACACGGUCCAGACUCCUACGGGAGGCAGCAGUGGGGAAUAUUGGACAAUGGGCGCAAGCCUGAUCCAGCCAUACCGCGUGGGUGAAGAAGGCCUUCGGGUUGUAAAGCCCUUUUGUUGGGAAAGAAAAGCAGCAGGUUAAUACCCCGCUGUUCUGACGGUACCCAAAGAAUAAGCACCGGCUAACUUCGUG
rnacentral:rRNA from 1 species